rnacentral:rRNA from 1 species
AGCAGCCGCGGUAAUUCCAGCUCCAAUAGCGUAUAUUAAAGUUGUUGCAGUUAAAAAGCUCGUAGUUGAAUUUCGGGAUCGACGGGUCGGUCGCGCCUCUGGUGUGUACUGGCCCUGUCGGUUUCUCCCUUCUGACGAACCACGAUGUCAUUAAUUUGGUGUCGUGGGAAAUCAGGACUGUUACUUUGAAAAAAUUAGAGUGUUUAAAGCAGGCAUUCGCUUGAAUACAUUAGCAUGGAAUAAUGAAAUAGGACGUUUGAUCUUAUUUUGUUGGUUUCUAAGAUCGACGUAAUGAUUAAUAGGGAUAGUUGGGGGCAUUAGUAUUCAAUUGUCGGAGGUGAAAUUCUUGGAUUUAUUGAAGACUAACUACUGCGAAAGCAUUUGCCAAGGAUGUUUUCAUUAAUCAAGAACGAAAGUUAGGGGAUCGAAGACGAUCAGAUACCGUCGUAGUCUUAACCAUAAACUAUGCCGACUAGGGAUCGGAUGAUGUUAAUUUUUAAUGACUCAUUCGGCGCCUUAC